AACAGACGUAAUUGUUAUACAGAAAAAUACGAAACUGGAAACUUAUCGUCGUGUUCAUGUCAUCUACGUGCUGCUCUUUAGCAGUCCUGAAGUAGCCAUCAUCAUGAACAACAAUGAAUGCAGGUUUUGCUUGUGUUCGACCAUUCAUCAGCUCGGCAGUCUCUACUACUUCAUCAUUAUGUUAAACAGCAUCCCGAAAAUCCAGGCCAUGUGGUUUACCUCUUUUUCUCCAUUGUCUAAUCCCCUCUGUCCUUGUGUACACCCAUUUGAGUGUGGGUGUAUUCACGAUUUCACGAUGACACCCUUUCUCUCAUCCCACCUGAAGUUGCUUUUCCAACUUUUCUGCGGAUGGGACACUUGGUAAUGCCGGGCCGUAUUUCCUAGGCUUAAUGGGUAGGAACGAUGUCAUUCUCGUGUACACCCCUGGGUAUCUCCUAGCACAUCCUAUUGUACAAAAAAGUACAUAAUUGAUGCGGUAGAACUCACAUAAUCAAUCAAAAUUAUGACACACCUCGACCGAAGCUGACGAUUCCAACCUGAAUCCAAGGACAUUUCUGAUGAUGAUCGUUCGCCUCGAUGACCAAGGGGCCACCGCUAUCGUUCUGUUGAAAAGAAGAAACCGAAUUUAAAAGUAAAGAGAGUUGGAAAUGAUGCGAAUGUUGGCGUGACGAAGGAAAUCGGAAUUUUUCCCUUUUUCGAGCGUCCGUCCCCAUCCCUUGGCAGUGGCCAUCUGGUUCAGAUACAGUUCGCUGGAUCCCGCCGGAGGUAAACAGACGGGUGAAAUAGCCGAAGUGAAAACGACGGGCGACUCCAACGUCAGGAUGGCUAUGUCGUUGUACUGAAAUUAAAAUUCAGUCAACAUAGUUACCAUGAAGGGGUACUGGUUCGGUGCUGUUUCCUCCCCACCAACCAUUCUCGCUGUCCGUUUCUCACUUUGUUUAAUUUCAUCUGGUUGCAGAUCUCAAGAGAAUUAUGAAACGAGCGACCGUUGGCUGAGCCGGAGAAGAGUAGCAGGAUUUCCGUUAAAACAAUAACUGUUAGGUGAAAAACUCGUGCCAUACUUAAAAUAUCACUACGACAAACAAACAGAAAUGAAUUAGCCAACUUAAUUAAUAGCCUAGUUCUUUUGAGUUUAGCUGCGCAGCACAACUUGUAAAGACCUACUGAGAUACUAUCUCUAGCAAACUGGCUUGUUCUGUCGUGUGAAGGUGUUUCCACGCGGCUGUGACGGCAUUCAGCCAAGCGGAAUCCCGCCGUCAUUUCCUUUCAUAUUAAUUUUGUUUUAAGGUCCUUGAAAUGUACAGAGAAAUUUUGUACCUUGAACUUUGCUCUUUUUGUGAUUUUGUUUGUUUUUAAUGUGUGCUGAAUUGUCGUUUAUGUUUAGGAUGUCCGGAGUGGGUGAUGUAAGGAAAUCGUAAAACCUUUCAAGGUUGCCGAUGACUGAGUGAAGGACGCCGAAGGACCUAUGAUACUUACUGAUCGCCUUAUUGACAGCACCGAAGACUACGGAUGUAAUUUGCCUUUCCAGGCGCAGGAUGACGACAUGGUUAAGUAAAAUUACAUUAGUGUUCUUCCAAACGUAUUGCAGACUAGUAAAGGCUUCAAUUGGCUUUUCUGUUUAAAUGAGGAGAGCAAAAUACGUCAACAGUCCAUUAUAAUUGAUUUUAUUGAACUUGUAUUGAUACUUGUUUAAAUUUAAAAAGGUGCAAAAAAUCUGUUUGUGAUUAUUAAAAAAAUGUAAAUGUUGUUUCAGGUCGAUUUGGUGUUUCCACAUCGCCAAGUAAAUUUAAAGGAUUAAAAGACAAAGUUGAUGCUCAA
rnacentral:lncRNA from 1 species